rnacentral:rRNA from 3 species
GCAGUCGAGCGGACAGAAGGGAGCUUGCUCCCGGAUGUUAGCGGCGGACGGGUGAGUAACACGUGGGUAACCUGCCUGUAAGACUGGGAUAACUCCGGGAAACCGGAGCUAAUACCGGAUAGUUCCUUGAACCGCAUGGUUCAAGGAUGAAAGACGGUUUCGGCUGUCACUUACAGAUGGACCCGCGGCGCAUUAGCUAGUUGGUGGGGUAAUGGCUCACCAAGGCGACGAUGCGUAGCCGACCUGAGAGGGUGAUCGGCCACACUGGGACUGAGACACGGCCCAGACUCCUACGGGAGGCAGCAGUAGGGAAUCUUCCGCAAUGGACGAAAGUCUGACGGAGCAACGCCGCGUGAGUGAUGAAGGUUUUCGGAUCGUAAAGCUCUGUUGUUAGGGAAGAACAAGUGCGAGAGUAACUGCUCGCACCUUGACGGUACCUAACCAGAAAGCCACGGCUAACUACGUGCCAGCAGCCGCGGUAAUACGUAGGUGGCAAGCGUUGUCCGGAAUUAUUGGGCGUAAAGGGCUCGCAGGCGGUUUCUUAAGUCUGAUGUGAAAGCCCCCGGCUCAACCGGGGAGGGUCAUUGGAAA